CACCACAGAUCCUAGCUAAUACCUUUAUGCAUAAUUAACAUUUCUAAGAGGUUGCUGAGAUUGCAAAGCUGAUGACAGCGUAUAUUCGUCUGGUGGUGGUCAGAAUGAAGUGAUAAUCCAAUUCAACAAAACAUUUUUAUGCUGAUCAUAAAGUUCCCCAAAACAUGAGCUAGAUUGUUCUUUACGCUCUGAGUCUGCUUGGAUUCAUCCUGUACUGCCUCCUGGCUCGCUGGUACAAGAGGAGAGUUAGAGACGAGGACUACAAUGCACACAGAGUGGUGGAGGAGGUCUACGAUCGAUAUCUAAUAAAUCCAAGCAUCACUAACUAAGUAUAGGCAGACUAUUGUAUGGUGAAUUGUAAUUUACUUUUAAUGCAAUUAUAAUUAUAGUCAUCACCUCACAUGCUGUUGUUUGCAAAGCAAAUUAAUAUUCAGUUAUAACCAACAUAAGAACUUUUGUAUAAUAUGCAAUACCAAAAAUCUUUUUUGAAAGUUUGACAGAAAUUAAUAAAAGAAUUCCAGUGAAGUGAA